rnacentral:rRNA from 1 species
CAAGUCGAACGGAAAGGCCCUUCGGGGUGCUCGAGUGGCGAACGGGUGAGUAACACGUGGGUGAUCUGCCCUGCACUUUGGGAUAAGCCUGGGAAACUGGGUCUAAUACCGGAUAGGACCACGCGCUUCAUGGUGUGUGGUGGAAAGCUUUUGCGGUGUGGGAUGGGCCCGCGGCCUAUCAGCUUGUUGGUGGGGUAAUGGCCUACCAAGGCGACGACGGGUAGCCGGCCUGAGAGGGUGACCGGCCACACUGGGACUGAGAUACGGCCCAGACUCCUACGGGAGGCAGCAGUGGGGAAUAUUGCACAAUGGGCGCAAGCCUGAUGCAGCGACGCCGCGUGAGGGAUGACGGCCUUCGGGUUGUAAACCUCUUUCGCCAGGGACGAAGAGAGAUUGACGGUACCUGGAGAAGAAGGACCGGCCAACUACGUGCCAGCAGCCGCGGUAAUACGUAGGGUCCGAGCGUUGUCCGGAAUUACUGGGCGUAAAGAGCUCGUAGGUGGUUUGUCGCGUUGUUCGUGAAAACUCACAACUCAAUUGUGGGCGUGCGGGCGAUACGGGCAGACUGGAGUACUGCAGGGGAGACUGGAAUUCCUGGUGUAGCGGUGGAAUGCGCAGAUAUCAGGAGGAACACCGGUGGCGAAGGCGGGUCUCUGGGCAGUAACUGACGCUGAGGAGCGAAAGCGUGGGGAGCGAACAGGAUUAGAUACCCUGGUAGUCCACGCCGUAAACGGUGGGUACUAGGUGUGGGUUUCCUUCCUUGGGAUCCGUGCCGUAGCUAACGCAUUAAGUACCCCGCCUGGGGAGUACGGCCGCAAGGCUAAAACUCAAAGGAAUUGACGGGGGCCCGCACAAGCGGCGGAGCAUGUGGAUUAAUUCGAUGCAACGCGAAGAACCUUACCUGGGUUUGACAUGCACAGGACGCCGGCAGAGAUGUCGGUUCCCUUGUGGCCUGUGUGCAGGUGGUGCAUGGCUGUCGUCAGCUCGUGUCGUGAAAUGUUGGGUUAAGUCCCGCAACGAGCGCAACCCUUGUCUCAUGUUGCCAGCACGU